ACUCCUACGGGAGGCAGCAGUGGGGAAUAUUGCACAAUGGGCGCAAGCCUGAUGCAGCCAUGCCGCGUGUGUGAAGAAGGCCUUCGGGUUGUAAAGCACUUUCAGUCGUGAGGAAGGUAGUGUAGUUAAUAGCUGCAUUAUUUGUACGUUAGCGACAGAAGAAGCACCGGCUAACUCCGUGCCAGCAGCCGCGGUAAUACGGAGGGUGCGAGCGUUAAUCGGAAUUACUGGGCGUAAAGCGCAUGCAGGUUGGUUUGUUAAGUCAGAUGUGAAAGCCCGGGGCUCAACCUCGGAAUAGCAUUUGAAACUGGCAGACUAGAGUACUGUAGAGGGGGUAGAAUUUCAGGUGUAGCGGUGAAAUGCGUAGAGAUCUGAAGGAAUACCGGUGGCGAAGGCGGCCCCUGGACAGAUACUGACACUCAGAUGCGAAAGCGUGGGAGCAAACAGGAUUAGAU
rnacentral:rRNA from 1 species